rnacentral:rRNA from 1 species
GACGAACGCUGGCGGCGUGCCUAAUACAUGCAAGUAGAACGCAGUUGCGAACGGGUGAGUAACGCGUAGGUAACGUCCUCAUAGCGGGGGAUAACUAUUGGGAACGAUAGCUAAUACCGCCUACUGUGAGAUGUACCUGCGUUGUAGUAGCUAGUUGGGGAGGGAAAGGCUCACUAAGGCGACGAUCCAGAGCCGAGCUGAGAGGGGGAUCGGGCAAACGUGGAGUGAGGCACGGCCCAGACUCCUACGGGAGGCAGCAGUAGGGAAUCUUUGGAAAUGGACGGAAGUCUUACCGCGCAACGCCGCGGGAGUGAAGAUGGUCUUCGGAGCGUAAAGCUCUGUUUUUCGAGAAGCGGUAUCUAAACAGAAAGGGACGGCUAACUACGUGCCAGCAGCCGCGGUAAUAC